GUAGAGGGCAAAACAUCUCCUUGAGAAACAGUGGACUAAGACUCUGUUAUUUUGAAUUUGAAUUCUGAGUGACUGUAGACACAGAGCCUGGAUUAGUGCUGUCAUACAAAAAAUCAGCCACAACAACACGCAUAUGGGAAAAGAACAGCAUUGUCAGGAAAAAAUGGACACUAAGAGAAAGAAGAAAGCAGAGUCCCAAGACAAAGAAUAUCUCUUGAUACUAUUAAAUAUAGAUGUCUGGACUGAAUUGAGCUUACACGACAAUUGCAGUCAAGAUUCUGCAACUCAGAACGGGCAAACCAGGUUGGUCUUGAUGACUUGCUUGACUAGAAUGUGACAGAUGUGAUGGACUGGGACUGCCAAUGCUAGGUCAUGAGAAAUUCUAAGAAUUCUGCCUGGUCUCUUGGAACACUGAUUCAGGGACCCCUGAACCACAGUAAAGAAGUUCAAUACUGGAGAAGACACAUGUAGAUCUUCAAGCCAACAAUCCAAAUUGAGCCCCGUAUUACAACUCUCCAUGUUGAUGUACCAAAAAGGUGUACGAAGCCAUCUGAGGCCCUCCUGAUCAGCCCAUCAGUCAGCUGAAUCCUGCCGAGAAACCUCUGUCAAUUUCACAUGGUACAGAGAAUUGCUGAUCUGAGCUCUGCCUGAACUCUUGACUCACAGAACAAUGAGAUAUAAUUAAAAGAUUGCUGUCUUAAGCCACUAAGUUUUAAAAUUUGUUUUACAAUAAAAGAUAACCAGAGCAUAGAUAUAACAAAAAGUACAAAAACGAUAGCUUCUAAAUAUAUACAUGGAUAUUUUCUUAUUUAAAUUUUACUGCCUUUUCUCUUAUCACUUUGUGAAUUCCUAUAUAUAUUUUCAAAACUUGUUGACUCAGCUGAACCAAU
rnacentral:lncRNA from 1 species